rnacentral:rRNA from 1 species
AAAUUGAAGAGUUUGAUCAUGGCUCAGAUUGAACGCUGGCGGCAGGCCUAACACAUGCAAGUCGAACGGUAACAGGAAGCAGCUUGCUGCUUCGCUGACGAGUGGCGGACGGGUGAGUAAUGUCUGGGAAACUGCCUGAUGGAGGGGGAUAACUACUGGAAACGGUAGCUAAUACCGCAUAACGUCGCAGGACCAAAGAGGGGGACCUUCGGGCCUCUUGCCAUCAGAUGUGCCCAGAUGGGAUUAGCUUGUUGGUGAGGUAACGGCUCACCAAGGCGACGAUCCCUAGCUGGUCUGAGAGGAUGACCAGCCACACUGGAACUGAGACACGGUCCAGACUCCUACGGGAGGCAGCAGUGGGGAAUAUUGCACAAUGGGCGCAAGCCUGAUGCAGCCAUGCCGCGUGUAUGAAGAAGGCCUUCGGGUUGUAAAGUACUUUCAGCGGGGAGGAAGGUGUUGUGGUUAA